AUUGAACGCUGGCGGCAUGCCUUACACAUGCAAGUCGAACGGUAACAGGUCUUCGGAUGCAGACGAGUGGCGAACGGGUGAGUAAUACAUCGGAACGUGCCCGAUCGUGGGGGAUAACGAGGCGAAAGCUUUGCUAAUACCGCAUACGAUCUACGGAUGAAAGCGGGGGAUCUUCGGACCUCGCGCGGACGGAGCGGCCGAUGGCAGAUUAGGUAGUUGGUGGGAUAAAAGCUUACCAAGCCGACGAUCUGUAGCUGGUUUGAGAGGAUGAUCAGCCACACUGGGACUGAGACACGGCCCAGACUCCUACGGGAGGCAGCAGUGGGGAAUUUUGGACAAUGGGCGAAAGCCUGAUCCAGCCAUGCCGCGUGCAGGAUGAAGGCCUUUGGGUUGUAAACUGCUUUUGUACGGAACGAAAAGCCUCUUUCUAAUAAAGAGGGGUCAUGACGGUACCGUAAGAAUAAGCACCGGCUAACUACGUG
rnacentral:rRNA from 1 species